rnacentral:lncRNA from 1 species
UAGGUCUUAUUUUCUGGGGAUGUCUUAUUUUCGGGGAAACAGGGUAGUAGCAACAAUAAUAGAGAAAAAUAAUAAAUGUACCACAUAUUCUUGAGUAUAAGCUGACCCAAAUAUAAGCCAGCCAGGACCCUCACCCGAGUAUAAGCCGAGGGGGGCUUUUUCAGUCUUAAAAAAAGGGCUGAAAAACUAGGCUUAUACUCGAGUAUAUACUAUAUAUAUAUAUAUAUAUAUAUAUAUAUAUAUAUAUAUAUACACACACACACACACAUAUAUAUAUAUAUAUACAUACACACACACACACACACACACACACACACAGAGUCUCACUUAUCCAAGCCUUGCUUAUCCAAGCCUCUGGAUAAUCCAAGCCAUUUUUGUAGUCAAUGUUUUCAAUACAUCAUGAUAUUUUGGUGCUAAAUUCGUAAAUACAGUCAUUACAACAUAACAUUACUGCAUAUUGAACUACUUUUUCUGUCAAAUUUGUUAUAUAACAUGAUGUUUUGGUGCUUAAUUUGUAAAAUCAUAACCUAAUUUGAUGUUUAUUAGGCUUUUCCUUAAUCCCUCCUUAUUAUCCAAGAUAUUCACUUAUCCAAGCUUCUGCCGGCCCGUUUAGCUUGGAUAAGUGAGACUCUACUGUAUUAUUCAAUUGUCAGGUGCUCACCCCAACACGGGCUGGCCUCGAAUUCAUGACCUCUUGGUCCGAGUGAUUUAUUGCAGCUGGCUGCUAACCAGCCUGCGCCACAUCCUCCUUAGGGCAGAUGUUCUGUGGAAAUUCUCUAGUCUUUGAACCUGUUUCGUGAGGACCGAAGACCCCUUUCAUCUCACCUAUCUGUCUGCGUCAUGUCUCUGCCCGCAGAAGGAUGUGCUGGAUGGGUUAAAAGAGCUGUCGGAGGGGUCGGAGGAGAGCAGCGACGUGCAUCUGGACUCCCCCGCCUCGGAAAACAGCAGCAGCAGCGAGAGGAGCAACAGCGGCCACAGCAGCAGUAGCAGCAGCAGCGGCAGCAGCGAGAGGAGCAGCCCCAAAGACGGGCGGAAGAGCAGGUGGCGCCGGAAAGUGUCCACGCGGCUCUCGCAGGUCUCCUCCCCGCAGCUGGGCACCCCGUCCCCUUCCGGCAAAGCCAUCUCCUCCUCCCAGAAGCACAGCAAAAAGGCCCUGAAGCAGGUAAGGGGGACAGGUGGGCUGCCACCUUCGGCUGACCUUGACCUCCUUCCAUGGUUGGUUGCAAUAUCGAGAAGAUCCUGUCUCACAACCUACGGUGAGGCAAACAACAAAACCAGCAUUGUAAGCAAGAACUAGCUGUGCCCGGCCUUGUGUUGCUGUGGCUUAUGGGAAUGCUUUGUUGGCCAGGUGGAAUAGCAGUGAAUAGCCUUGCAGCCUCAAAGCCUGGCCGUUUUCUUCUUAUGGGAAUCCUUGUUUGGUGAGCUGAAAUACAAAGGAAUAGGCUUGCUGUUUGGAAGGCUGGGUACUUGUGUUCUAAGUGAAUGUUUUUGCUGUUGUUUUUUUUUUUUUUUGCAAUGAAUAGCCUCACUAUUUCAAAGCUUGGCUGCUUGCUACCAAGUUUAAUCCUUUGUUGGUCUGGUUGAAUUGCACCGAAUAGCCUUGCAGCUUCAAUGCCUGGCUGUGUUAUACCUAGGGGAAUCCUUGUUUGGCGAGCUGGAGUAGCACCCUCAAUCAAAGAAGCCUGGCUACUUCCUUUGUAGGGGAAUCCUUGUUUGGCCAGCUUGAACUGCACUGAAUAGUCUUGCAACUUAAAAGCUUGGCCGCUUUCUACAUAGGGGCAUCCUUGCUAGGCCAGGUUGAAUGGGACGGAGUAGCCUCGUUGCUUCAAAGCCUGGUGGUUUUUCACCUAGGGGAAAUCUUGGUUGGCCAGGUUGAAUAGCAUUGAAUGGCCUUGCUGCUUGCAAGCCUGGCCGCUUUCUACCUUGUGGAAUCCUUGGUUGGCCGGGUUGAAUAGCAAUGAAUAGUCUCGGUGCGGCAGGUAUGAGUGCUGCAAUUAGCCACCUUGAUUAGCAUUUAAUGGCCUUGCAGUUUCAAAUCUUUGCUGCUUCCUGCCUGGGGGAAUCCUUUGUUGGGAGGUGUUAGCUGGCCCUGAUGGUUUCCUUUCUGGAAUUUCCAGUUUCCCUGUUUUCAGAGUGUUGCUCUUAAUUUCU